AGGAAAUUACCUCUGAUUAGUAGUUGAUUUAACUCCAUGGAAAUAAAAAAAUAUCUGGAGAGCUGGAGUAGAAGGGUGGAAAAUCACAGGAACUGACAUUUCCUUUGUACUGUACUCUCAUGAUGAGGUAAAAGGAUGCCUGAGAAGGAUAAGAAUCGGUUUAUCUGGAGGGAUGCUGCCAACCCUGUACAAAGCACUGGGAAUGCUCAUGUCCCCAGAUGUUCCCAGAGGAUGGCUGCUGUGCUGUAUAUGGCUAUCAAGAUCCAUGUCAGCCCUGCAUGAUCUGUUUUAUUGUACAGAGGUAUACAGUUAUGGCGUAUGAGCAUGUGUUCUUUUGCUUUCUUUGGGUUUAGCAAUUCCAUCAUGGUACAUUUACUCUGUGUCUGCUUUGUGACAUGUGGCUUUCAUAUCCAUGCUUUUUAAACAGCAGGCUGUAAUGGUAGCCUUGCUCUUGCAAGCCUGGAGGGGCAGCU